GGUUCCAUGGUGUAAUGGUUAGCACUCUGGGCUCUGAAUCCAGCGCAUCCAAGUUCUCAAAUCUCGUUGGAACCU
rnacentral:tRNA from 1 species